rnacentral:rRNA from 1 species
GACGAACGCUGGCGGCGUGCCUAAUACAUGCAAGUAGAACGCUGAAGGAGGAGCUUGCUUCUCUGGAUGAGUUGCGAACGGGUGAGUAACGCGUAGGUAACCUGCCUGGUAGCGGGGGAUAACUAUUGGAAACGAUAGCUAAUACCGCAUAAUAGUAGAUGUUGCAUGACAUUUGCUUAAAAGGUGCAAUUGCAUCACUACCAGAUGGACCUGCGUUGUAUUAGCUAGUUGGUGGGGUAACGGCUCACCAAGGCGACGAUACAUAGCCGACCUGAGAGGGUGAUCAGCCACACUGGGACUGUGACACGGCCCAGACUCCCUCGGGAGGCAGCAGUAGGGAAACUUCGGCAAUGGGCGGAAGUCUGACCGAGCAACGCCGCGGGAGUGAAGAAGGUUUUCGGAUCGUAAAGCUCUGUUGUAAGGGAAGAACGAGUUUGAGAGUGGAAAGUUCACACUGUGACGGUAUCUUACCAGAAAGGGACGGCUAACUACGUG